ACUAAAGGGUAACGAAUGCUAAAAACGUCACGUCCUGUGACAACGCAUUCAUGACCAGCAUCGUGCUGG
rnacentral:sRNA from 1 species